UCUUGCCUAUCUAAGUCAAAGAAUUUCAGCACUUUACCUGCCAUACUGAUUAUCAGAGCCACUUUUCAAUUUGCCUAUACCUUCUUUUGGUAGUCCGUUAGUAAAAAUAUAAUUUGAUUUUUUUUGUUCUUAUGAAAUGUUAACCAAAUCACACCAGAAAUUAUUUUCCUGAACAAUAAAUAACUUAAGACAGAGCCUAACAUAGGUUUUCUAGGUAUUCAAAUAUUUACCAAGUACCUUUACUGAACAGGCCUAAUUUUAUUCUGCAGAUAUUCUAAACCAGAUAGACAAGGCCACUGUCUUCACAGAACUUACCAUGGAGGCUAAAGCUAAGUUAACAAGAACCUGUGUGUAUUAGGAAGGGAGAAAUAGUGUGCUGGGAAACUCAGGAGGAACACUUAAACCAGAGAGGAGUUCCCAGAGUGAGCUUCCUGGAGGAAGUGACCUGACAUAAAAAUGAAAUUUAAAAGACAGGAGGACUAGCCAGAAAAGCAAAGUAAGGAGGCAAGUUUAUAAGCAGAGAGUAUAGCAAUGUGUAGAAGGCAAGAGGCAGAGAGCAAGAACCUAGUACCUUCAAGAACUGAAAUUCCAUCAGACCUGAGAGUGUCCAGUUAGAUAUAAGAAGUAGCAAGAGAUGACUUUAACAGAUGAGUAUAGAUCCUGCAGAGGCAUUUGGGACUUUAUCCCAAUAGCAGUGGGAUCUUAAAGGUUUUAAACAGCAGAAACGUACUAGAUUGAUGUUUCUAAGAGCACAGUUGAGAGAUCUGGGGGUGAGGGCUGGCUGAGAGCAAAUGAAAUGACUUGUGGAAGAUGGUGAAAAGAAGACAAAUCAUGGAAACAUCAAAUAUGAAAAUCGGCAGAGGAAAACGAGACCACAGGAGCAGAAAACUUUUAAGUAAUUUACCCAUGACCUGACACACUGCCAAAAAGGUCAAGGAAAACAAAGCCUAAAAGUUUUCCAUUGGGUUUAGCAAUGAGGUAGUCUAUGGUAAGAUGAAGAAGCCCAUUAAUACUAGUAUCCAAAUACAUUCUCCAAUGGUUGAUGUGAUAUGUUAGCAUUUUGGUUUCAUUUUGUAACCCUUUAAUUAUUUUUUUUUUUUAAGUAAUCUUUAUGCCCAGUGUGGGGCUUGAACUGAUGACCCCGAGAUCCCGCUAAACCAGCCAGGUUUUACUUAUUGAUUAACAAUAAGAUACCACACAUGCUGUUAUUCUGAAAUCAGCAGUACUGCCAAGAACAAAGAACCAAUGGGAAGAGAAGCCAUUUGUGCUCCAUUGUUUCUGAAUUUGGAAAAUAAGUUCUGAGACCAAACAUCAUGUGCUUUUUGAGGGAUCAAGUGUGAAGAUUGUUGUCACAAAUUAGUAGGACUACCUGGUAUUCAGAAUUUUGAAAAAUCACUGCAUUGCACAAUAUAAUAAUAAACUGACUAACAGCACAGCCGUAUGGAAAAUAAACACAGAAGAGCAAGAGCAUAAGCAACAAUGAAUCACAGAAACUGAGAGUUGGAGUGCUGCAUAUUGCAGAGGCUCAGAGUUUCCAAAAACUGUUAUAUGAGUGAUGAGGUACAGAUGCUAAGUCAUGCAUGCAGAGAGGAGUUCAUUUGUAUUGCGAAGCCUGCACUGUAUCCACAUGUAGCUGAAUAAACUGAACUGAACAGAGACUAUUGAAUUUCCAAGGUUUCUUUCUAUAUUUCUGGAUUGUUUUAACUAUAAACACCAAAGACAUACAUUAGUGGACAAUGUGAGGGCAGGGAUUGUUUGGGUAUUGUUUUUUUGAAGAUAGGAAAAUAUAUUAGACACAAUGGCAGCUGUUAUUUUUAUUCAUCCUUAUUACAUAAAAUAAGUAAAAGAUGAUAAUGUUAAAAUUAUUAUGAGGUAUUUAUUUCAUUCACUUUCAUUAUUUAGUAACUGAUGUAUCUGUAUCACUAUGUUUGCAAAAUAUUAGUUAGAAAAUUGAAAAUCUAAUUGUGUGUUCUCUUGUUUUGGCCUGUUUUCGAUACAAGUUCCAACAGCAAAUAAAUUUACCUUCUUGGGGCGAAAAUGCUAGUUUAAGGAUUUUAAUUAAUUUCUUCUGAGGUAACCAGUCUGUAAGUUUCUAAACUUUUCUAAACCUUUUAUCCAAAUAUUAGUGGAAGAAAUACCAUCUACCUUUGUAAAUAUAAAGUUAUGAUCUACUUAUUUUAGAAAACUAGUAACACAAAGCUCAACUCAACUAUAACCAGAUUGGCAUAUUUAAACUUUUAAUCUCAGAAAUCAGAAUAUUUCAAAAAUAAAAUAAGGAACUCUGUCAUUUGGGGUCAAAUUUGGGAGGAAAUAGCUAAAAUCACAGCUUGAUAACUAGCACCAAUGAUUAAUUGCUUUUUCAACAUGUGGAUUAUCUUGGUGCCAAAAAUUAUGGAACAAUUGCCUAACAAAUUGGAGAGUCCCUGAUGUCAGUACUCAUAUUUUCUUUGGAUUAUACUAAGCAAUUAUGCUAACCUUACUAAUGACUGAGUAAAAUGGUAUUGUGCCUUGGGGCACAUUUUGAUGAACUACAGUUGUACUUCUCAUAACCUAAGAGGCAUAUGCAUAAAGAAGUAUAUUGUUCAGAAUAGGGCUCUGUGACCUUUAUGUUAGAUUAUAGAGAAUUAUAAAUAUCUAUCACAUAACUAUGAAUAUGUUUAUCAUUAAUAGUCACAACUUUAAAUUAUUUACCUUCCUGAAAAAUUAGCUGAUAAAAGCUCAUCUCCAAAUAAAUGUUUGAUUUAAAUAGCUCCGUUUUUGUUCCUAGAAUUUACUACCCCAUACCACAUCCUCAUAUUCAGUUCAAUUUAUUAUUUGUACUAAAUUUAUUUGCAUUUAUUAUUUAUACUGUAUUUAUGAUAUCAGAUAAAUCUUUUAAAACAUG